rnacentral:tRNA from 1 species
GGAGGGAUGGCCGAGGGGUUUAAGGCGGCGGUCUUGAAAACCGCUUUCCUUCCGGGGAACGGGGGUUCGAAUCCCUCUCCCUCCGCCA